UCUAACAGUUUUUCUCUAAUUACUUACCUCUGCCUCCAAUUCUUCUUCCCGAAGCACAAAUGAUUCCCAACCUCUUACGAGUACCUCUAUCCCCUCCUUCACACUACACAAACCAGAGAGAGAGAGAGAGAGAGAGAGAGAGAGAGAGAGAGCAUUUUAGAAGAGAAGUUGCAGAGAAGGAGAAGGAGAAGGAGUUCGGCCGCCGCUUGACGCCACCGUAACCCACCCGAAUCCCUCCGAUUCUAGCUUAAUCUGCAGGAAUUAAGGUAUCGAAGGAGAAACAGGAGCACCGAUUGAUCCGACUGAAGUCAACAUUGCGGAGGAAGAAGUUAAAGGGCCUUGGUUGCCUUAUCCUAAUUGCUCUGUUUAAUUUAAAUAAACUUUAUUUUGAGAAUUCAUAGUAUUCGAGAAUUGUAAUAAUUGUGAACUUAUUAUAUAUAUUCGGGGAACCCAAAAAAAUACCUCAUAGUUCUCGAUCAAAUUUUGAUGAUCUAAGCCGCUCAAUGUGAUCACAAUGUGAUUUUAAGGGUACUCGCGAGAAAUCAGCAAAACAAAUGACCGAGAAGGGCUUGAUCUGAACAGUUUCGAACAGUUUUUUAUUAAACGGUUCAAAUAAAAACUGCUCAAAUCAAGCCUUUUUCAGUCUUUUUUUUUUUGCUAAUUUCUCGCGGGCACCUUUAAAAUCACAUUCUGCACACAUUGAACGGUUCGGAUCAUAAAAAUUUGGUCGGAAACUAUGAGAUUGAGAUUUGAGGUGUUUUUUUAGGUGUUUUUUUGGUGUCCCUUGAACCUAUAUAUAUAUAUUGAUCGUCGUAUCUAAACCUAAAAAUUUGUUUCUCGUUAUUCGUACUAAAUAAAUGAGAUCACUUUGGAAAAAUGCAUUCUUUAACGUCUUCGAAAAAUCCGGGCGUUACAAUCAAUUUCCAAAAAACAGUCAUUAUGACCCCAUUCGUUUAAGGGUUUUAAAUUUUAAAUUCUAAUCAUUAUUUUAUUUCUUUCCAAUCAUUACUCUAAAAAAUGGUGUAACAUUUGUAAUUUCCCACGAUGUAUUUUUUGUUGAGAUGAAUAUUCAAAUACUUAUUUUGUCU